UUUUGGCUCUAAAGCCCAUCCUUAUCAAGCUAGUUCUCCUGCGACCUAGACCUAGGUUUCAGAACUGGGGCAAUGAUACCACGGGAAGGCAGGUGUGAUGUUGUCUUCUCCCAAGGACCUUCUCCAACCACACUACUCGAAGUGUGUCCAGAAUUGGUGGGCUCUUGGUCUCGCUGACUUCAAGAAUGAAGCCGUGGACCCUCGCGAUUAAACAAGUGCAACUUUCCCAAUCUCACACAACUACUUGUGGAGCCAGGAUUCCAUACAGGCAAUCUUCCACUGAGGAAGAAGAAGAGAGAAGAUUGAAGAGGUGGACCGGCUGCACAUUUCAUCAUGAAGAUUUAUCCGGAGAUCCAAGAGACUGACUCAGGCUAUGAAUCAGCUACGUAAGUUCCAUGAAAGGGCUAUGUCUUCUAAGAAAAAGGAUCACGCUGACCUCCACUUUCAACAAGUUGCCUCUAAGCAUGAAGUGACCCUAAGAGAUAGGAAGAUAAGGAGGGACAAUCUUUUGAUCUAAUCUAAGAGGUAAUCUAAUUUUAAUGCAAGUGGAAGAACUGAAAAGCUGCACAGAGUAUAAAAAGAAGGACUAAGGUAGUAGAGAAAGAGGAUCUUCCCUUUGCCAGCCACUGUUUCUAAGCUUAUCUCCCACAGACCUUUAUAUAUAUAUAUUUUUUUUUGAAGACCUGGAAGAAAGGUGAUUCAUCUCUAUGAUGGGAGAAUUUCUUGAAGCCACAAAGUGAUGAGAAAUUGAUGUUCAUAAUAUUAGUUGCCAAGAAAAGACAGGUCACCAUUCUCUAAAUUCUGGACUUUCUUCUUAGGCUGUAAGCCCUUGCAUUAGUUUUGAUCAUAACUUACUUCAUGGACCAUCUUCAUUUAAAAGUAUGUAGAACCAAAAGUAUAUAAUAUUUAUUUUAAAGGCUAUAGUAUCUCUAGUACUGUAAUUCAUCACCUUUUUUUCUCUGUCCCCAAAUAUCUGAAAGAUAUGACAUGCUCUGAUUAGUAUCAGUGACUCUCUAUGGCAGGAUAUUUUUUAUCAGAGCAGGGGAAAGAUGUGUAAUUCUAACACACUCAGUCCCAAUUAUUAUGAUUAGCCCUCUUCUCACCUCUAGACUGAGAUCCACUAAAAUAUCAAUGCAUUUAUGUCCUAUAAUAGCUACUUUAGAUAUACUUAGACAUUAUUUCUAAAACUUUCAUGCUUAGAAGGAUGUUUCACUUUUCAACAAAACUGGUACGAAUACAACCUAAUUUACAAAACAGAUAAGGCAGUAGGAGUUUUUGCAUUAUAAAAGAAAACUUCAAAGGAUUUCUCUAAGCAAUGAGUUGCCCUAAAACAUUUACAUGAUGAUUCAAGCUUUUUUUCAAAAAAAGGAUUUAUACAUAGCACCUUAUGAGGGCAUCUAUUAUAAUGUUAAGUGUAUCUGAACUAGUAAAACAAUUAUUUGUUCUAACUGAGGUUAUUACCAUUUUAUUAUUCAGGCCAGCAGCGCUAUCCCAAUCACCUGUGGAGCUAAAGUGACUGAGGUAGUCAUAUUAUAUUGAAUGUUAAUAUUUUAUUUUCCAAAAAGUAUAAUGAGUCUGCUUAAAUAAGAAUCCAUCAAAUUGAAAAUUAUUAUUUUUGCUACCAUAAAUAAUUCUGGAGUGGCAGUGGAUCAAUCAACACUAUAUCUGCUGUU
rnacentral:lncRNA from 1 species